rnacentral:lncRNA from 1 species
AUGUCAACAAUUUUUUGGAGAGAGAAGAGGUACUCCCUUAUAGGGACUCGUAAAGACAUAGAGCAUCUAGAGAUUUACUGCCUCCAUUACGCUGCUGGCUCUCGCAGCACUUGUUAUGUUUUUAUCAGUUUCUCUCCAGAAGUAUUCAAAGUGAUCCAUGUGACCUAGAUAUUGAAAAUCGAGGUAGAGUGUGCUGCAUUGCUGAUAUUUACUGUGAAGCCUCAGAAACAUUCUUGUUCCACAUGCUAGAAUUACAGGAUGCACACUGUUUAAUAUUGCUGGUAUUUUAAAAGAUACCUGAAAGUCUGCACAAUCAUUUUUUUAAGGUGGCAUUAAAAUAUUGUUUAAAAAGAUUCAAAUAAUAAAACAUAAUGCCUUUAUAUUCCA